AUUGAACGCUGGCGGCAUGCUUUACACAUGCAAGUCGAACGGCAGCGCGGGCUUCGGCCUGUCUGCGAGUGGCGAACGGGUGAGUAAUACAUCGGAACGUGCCCAGUAGUGGGGGAUUGCUCGGCGAAAGCCGGAUUAAUACCGCAUACGACCUGAGCGUGAAAGCGGGGGAUCUUCUGACCUCGCGCUAUUUUACUGGCCGAUGGCAGCUUAGCUAGUUGGUGGGGUUAAGGCCUACCAAGGCGACCAUCUGUAGCUGGUCUGAGAGGACGACCAGCCACACUAGGACUGAGACACGGCCCAGACUACUACGGGAGGCAGCAGUGGGGAAUUUUGGACAAUGGGCGAAAGCCUGAUCCAGCAAUGCCGCGUGUGUGAUGAAGGCCUUCGGGUUGUAAAGCACUUUUGGAGGGAACGAAAAGGACUGUGCCAAUACCACGCUUCGAUGACGGUACCCGCAGAAUAAGCACCGGCUAACUACGUG
rnacentral:rRNA from 1 species